rnacentral:rRNA from 1 species
GAUGAACGCUGGCGGCGUGCCUAAUACAUGCAAGUCGAGCGAAUGGAUUAAGAGCUUGCUCUUAUGAAGUUAGCGGCGGACGGGUGAGUAACACGUGGGUAACCUGCCCAUAAGACUGGGAUAACUCCGGGAAACCGGGGCUAAUACCGGAUAACAUUUUGAACCGCAUGGUUCGAAAUUGAAAGGCGGCUUCGGCUGUCACUUAUGGAUGGACCCGCGUCGCAUUAGCUAGUUGGUGAGGUAACGGCUCACCAAGGCAACGAUGCGUAGCCGACCUGGGAGGGUGAUCGGCAGCACUGGGACAGGGGCACGGCCCAGACUCCUACGGGAGGCAGCAGUAGGGAAUCUUCCGCGAUGGACGAAAGUCUGACGGAGCAACGCGGCGUGAGUGAUGAAGGCUUUCGGGUCGUAAAACUCUGUUGUUAGGGAAGAACAAGUGCUAGUUGAAUAAGCUGGCACCUUGACGGUACCUAACCAGAAAGCCACGGCUAACUACGUGCCAGCAGCCGCCGUAA